rnacentral:lncRNA from 1 species
GCACAGGGCGGCAGAGUGACAAAGCCACGGCUGCCUCCACCCGAAGUGGGAGUGGGAGUGAGAGUCCCUCUUACCAGUCCUCAACUAGGGAAAGCGUAAAAGUUUGUCUCUGUUCAAGCGUUCCGAGCGCCCCAAGGUAAAGGUGGAAGUAAAUGGCCAAGUUGUAUCGAAAGAGGUGGCCAUGGUGUAGCAGAUUGCUGCAGAUGGUUUCAAUAGUCCUGCUGAAUGCUCCUCGUCUGUGCCUGCAAGAGGAACUCAAGGCUUUAUGUAUGGCCAUUGCUGUGACCUAGUGUGAUGCUCUACUUUUCCACUGAACUCUGCUUGCUCUAACUGAGGACCUUAGCUAUAAUUUAGCCUUUUCUUUUUAUAUUAAGCUGUUGUUGAGGAAGGAGCUUUGGCAAUAGAAGAAAGCAAGCAG